CCUACGGUGGCAGAAGUGGGGGAGAGUGCACAAGGGGGGAAACCCGGAGGCAGCGACGCCGCGUGAGUGAAGAAGUAUUUAGGUAUGUAAAGCUCUAUAAGCAGGGAAGAAAAGGACAGUACCGGACCAAGAAGCCCCGGCGAACUACGUGCCAGCAGCCGCGGGAAUACGUAGGGGGCAAGCGUUAUCCGGAUUUACUGGGUGUAAAGGGAGCGUAGACGGUUAUGUAAGUCUGGAGUGAAAGCCCGGGGCCCAAUCCCGGGACUGCUUGGGAAACGGUGUAACUGGAGUACAGGAGGGGCAGGCGGAAUUCCUGUUGUAGCGGUGAAAUGCGUAGAUAUCAGGCGGAACCCCGGCGGCGAAGGCGGCCUGCUGGACUGAAACUGACGUUGAGGCUCGACAGCGUGGGGAGCAAACAGGAUUAGAUACCCUUGUAGUC
rnacentral:rRNA from 1 species